GGUUAGGAAGGGGGCAACCNAUUCUGGAACCGAGAAGCUGGUCAAACUUGGUCAUUUAGAGGAAGUAAAAGUCGUAACAAGGUUCCGUAGGUGAACCUGCGGAAGGAACAUUACUGAUUUGCUUAAUUGCACCACAUGUGUUUUUCUUUGAAACAAACUUGCUUUGGCGGUGGGCCCAGCCUGCCGCCAGAGGUCUAAACUUACAACCAAUUUUUUAUCAACUUGUCACACCAGAUUAUAUUACUAAUA
rnacentral:misc_RNA from 1 species